CCUACGGGGGGCUGCAGUGGGGAAUAUUGGACAAUGGGGGGAACCCUGAUCCAGCCAUGCCGCGUGUGUGAAGAAGGCCCUCGGGUUGUAAAGCACUUUCAGUGAGGAAGAACGCCUGGUGGUUAAUACCCAUCAGGAAAGACAUCACUCACAGAAGAAGCACCGGCUAACUCCGUGCCAGCAGCCGCGGUAAUACGGAGGGUGCGAGCGUUAAUCGGAAUUACUGGGCGUAAAGCGCGCGUAGGUGGCUUGAUAAGCCGGUUGUGAAAGCCCCGGGCUCAACCUGGGAACGGCAUCCGGAACUGUCAAGCUAGAGUGCAGGAGAGGAAGGUAGAAUUCCCAGUGUAGCGGUGAAAUGCGUAGAGAUCGGGAGGAAUACCAGUGGCGAAGGCGGCCUUCUGGACUGACACUGACACUGAGGUGCGAAAGCGUGGGUAGCAAACAGGAUUAGAUACCCCUGUAGUC
rnacentral:rRNA from 1 species